UGAUUUAGUCGGUUCUCGACUCUCAUUGAAACGGCAGUUCAAAGUCUGAUUGAAAGAACGCGGACCACCGAGCACUCUUCUUCACACACGUGUAAAAAAUAUGGAUAUGAAUCAGAGGAAACAAUUAGGCAAUUUUAAAGGAUUUUUCUUCGCCACCCUCCUCAUGCACCACUGGGAUUGAUAGUAGUCCCCUCUGCUACGAUGAUAGAAUCCACGUCGA